rnacentral:rRNA from 1 species
AUGGGACUGCCGGUGACAAACCGGAGGAAGUGGGGAUGACGUCAAGUCCUCAUGGCCCUUAUAGGUGGGGCUACACACGUCAUACAAUGGCCGGUACAAAGGGCAGCCAACCCGCAGGGGGAGCCAAUCCCAUAAAGCCGGUCGUAGUCCGGAUCGCAGUCUGCAACUCGACUGCGUGAAGUCGGAAUCGCUAGUAAUCGUGGAUCAGUAUGUCACGGUGAAUACGUUCCCGGGUCUU